GCAGGGCGCGUGCUAUACAUGCAGUCGAGCGGACAGAUGGGAGCUUGCUCCCUGAUGUUAGCGGCGGACGGGUGAGUAACACGUGGGUAACCUGCCUGUAAGACUGGGAUAACUCCGGGAAACCGGGGCUAAUACCGGAUGGUUGUCUGAACCGCAUGGUUCAGACAUAAAAGGUGGCUUCGGCUACCACUUACAGAUGGACCCGCGGCGCAUUAGCUAGUUGGUGAGGUAACGGCUCACCAAGGCGACGAUGCGUAGCCGACCUGAGAGGGUGAUCGGCCACACUGGGACUGAGACACGGCCCAGACUCCUACGGGAGGCAGCAGUAGGGAAUCUUCCGCAAUGGACGAAAGUCUGACGGAGCAACGCCGCGUGAGUGAUGAAGGUUUUCGGAUCGUAAAGCUCUGUUGUUAGGGAAGAACAAGUGCCGUUCAAAUAGGGCGGCACCUUGACGGUACCUAACCAGAAAGCCACGGCUAACUACGUGCCAGCAGCCGCGGUAAUACGUAGGUGGCAAGCGUUGUCCGGAAUUAUUGGGCGUAAAGGGCUCGCAGGCGGUUUCUUAAGUCUGAUGUGAAAGCCCCCGGCUCAACCGGGGAGGGUCAUUGGAAACUGGGGAACUUGAGUGCAGAAGAGGAGAGUGGAAUUCCACGUGUAGCGGUGAAAUGCGUAGAGAUGUGGAGGAACACCAGUGGCGAAGGCGACUCUCUGGUCUGUAACUGACGCUGAGGAGCGAAAGCGUGGGGAGCGAACAGGAUUAGAUACCCUGGUAGUCCACGCCGUAAACGAUGAGUGCUAAG
rnacentral:rRNA from 1 species